CAGCUGGCCCAGCAAGCGGAAAUCGCUCAGUUCUGCCUCCAGGGAAAGAUGAAUGACAACCUGCAGAUAAAAAGGACAAUAGGCUGGGACCAAAAAGACUCAUGGAACAAACGUUUCACCUUGUGAGAAGCAGAUCUAACAUGAAGAGCCCUUCAGGCCAGAUAAAGGUCAGAUAAACACAAUAGAGAAGAGGGGCAAGUCGUCCCAUCAUCGCCUGCAGCACCAGUCACUGUGAAACUGUUUAGCCAUACAUUAGCCCUGGGCAGGCAGGGGUCCUCUGCCAUCCCACUGGAACAACAUAUGGAGCUAAGAAUUAGCAGCAGCUGUCAGAAGAGUGUGAGAGCAGUUCAUACCUCUGGAGUGAUACAUGGAGGCCUGGGACAGACCACAGCUCCAUAGGAGGAUGAGAGACAGCAACGCAGUCCACAGCAAUGACCAUGAUGAGGUGACCGCACUCCCCGGACGCAACAUAACCAUCCACUGACAAAAACUCCCUCCAAAAGAAGAGAAACCUGGAUUUUCAAUUAUUAAAAUGUUUCGCUUGGAAAAGUCUUCAACUAACUCUUCACACCAAGACAGCUGGGAAGGUGCCUGUUAAGAUAACUAGGGAGCACAUCCACCUGCAGCUACUGUAAUGCCUUAGUGACAACCCAACAUCUCUACAGUCUGUAUUUAUAGACUACUUCCCACCCGUGAACUCUACAAAAAAAUGGGCUGAGGCAUGAAGUUAAAAAAAUGAAUAGAUUCCA